rnacentral:rRNA from 1 species
AGCGCACACGGUGGAUGCCUUGGCGGUCAGAGGCGAUGAAGGACGUGGCAGCCUGCGAAAAGUAUCGGGGAGCUGGCAACAAGCUUUGAUCCGGUAAUGUCCGAAUGGGGAAACCCACCCGCUUGCGGGUAUCCUGCAGUGAAUACAUAGCUGCUGGAAGCGAACCUGGUGAACUGAAAUAUCUAAGUAACCAGAGGAAAAGAAAUCAACCGAGAUUCCGUAAGUAGCGACGAGCGAACGCGGACUAGCCCUUAAGCUGAUUUGGUUCUAGGAAAACGCUCUGGAAAGAGCGGCCAUAGAAGGUGAUAGCCCUGUAUCUGAAAGGGCCAUUUCAGUGAAGACGAGUAGGGCGGGGCACGUGAAACCCUGUCUGAACAUGGGGGGACCAUCCUCCAAGGCUAAAUACUACUGACCGACCGAUAGUGAACCAGUACCGUGAGGGAAAGGCGAAAAGAACCCCGGAGAGGGGAGUGAAAUAGAACCUGAAACCGUGUGCGUACAAGCAGUAGGAGCUCCGCAAGGAGUGACUGCGUACCUUUUGUAUAAUGGGUCAGCGACUUACUGUUCGUGGCAAGCUUAACCGUAUAGGGGAGGCGAAGGGAAACCGAGUCUGAUAAGGGCGCAUAGUCGCGGGCAGUAGACCCGAAACCGGGUGAUCUAGUCAUGCCCAGGGUGAAGGUGCGGUAACACGCACUGGAGGCCCGAACCCACUCCCGUUGCAAAGGUAGGGGAUGAGGUGUGAUUAGGAGUGAAAAGCUAAUCGAACCCGGAGAUAGCUGGUUCUCCUCGAAAGCUAUUUAGGUAGCGCCUCAUAUGUAUCCUCUCGGGGGUAGAGCACUGUUAUGGCUAGGGGGUCAUCGCGACUUACCAAACCAUUGCAAACUCCGAAUACCGAGACGGACUGUAUGGGAGACACACGGCGGGUGCUAACGUCCGUCGUGAAAAGGGAAACAACCCAGACCCACAGCUAAGGUCCCAAAUUUUGUGCUAAGUGGAAAACCAUGUGGAAAGGCACAGACAGCCAGGAGGUUGGCUUAGAAGCAGCCACCCUUUAAAGAAAGCGUAAUAGCUCACUGGUCGAGUCGGUCUGCGGGGAAGAUUUAACGGGGCUAAGCACAGAACCGAAGCUUGGGGUGCAUAACUUUGUUAUGCGCGGUAGAGGAGCGUUCCGUAAGCCGUUGAAGGUGGAUUGAGAAGUCUGCUGGAGGUAUCGGAAGUGCGAAUGCUGACAUGAGUAACGAUAAUGCGGGUGAAAAACCCGCACGCCGAAAGCCCAAGGUUUCCUUGCGCAACGUUAAUCGGCGCAGGGUGAGUCGGCCCCUAAGGCGAGGACGAAAGUCGUAGUCGAUGGGAAGCAGGUUAAUAUUCCUGCACCUCGCGUAAGUGCGAUGGAGGGACGGAGAAGGUUAGGUGUACCAGGCGUUGGUUGUCCUGGGGAAAGGCGGUAGGUUUGGAUCUUUGGCAAAUCCGGGAUCCUUUAAGACCGAGCACCGAGACGAGCCUUUAAGGCGAAGUCACUGAUACCACGCUUCCAGGAAAAGCUCCUAAGCUUCAGCUUACGCAGACCGUACCGUAAACCGACACAGGUGGGUAGGAUGAGAAUUCUCAGGCGCUUGAGAGAACUCGGGUGAAGGAACUAGGCAACAUGGCACCGUAACUUCGGGAGAAGGUGCACCCUUUUUGGUGGCUCGUGCGAGCUAUAGCUGAAGAGGGUCGCAGUAACCAGGCCGCUGCGACUGUUUAUCAAAAACACAGCACUCUGCAAACACGAAAGUGGACGUAUAGGGUGUGACGCCUGCCCGGUGCUGGAAGGUUAAUUGAUGGGGUCAGCCGCAAGGCGAAGCUCUUGAUCGAAGCCCCAGUAAACGGCGGCCGUAACUAUAACGGUCCUAAGGUAGCGAAAUUCCUUGUCGGGUAAGUUCCGACCUGCACGAAUGGCGUAACGACAGCGGCGCUGUCUCCACCCGAGACUCAGUGAAAUUGAAAUCGCUGUGAAGAUGCAGCGUUCCCGUGGCAAGACGGAAAGACCCCGUGAACCUUUACUAUAGCUUUACACUGAACGUUGAGUUCGUCUGUGUAGGAUAGGUGGGAGGCUAUGAAACCAUGGCGCUAGCUGUGGCGGAGCCAUCCUUGAAAUACCACCCUGUCGUGCUUGACGUUCUAACCUGGGCCCAUUAUCUGGGUCGGGGACCGUGUAUGGUGGGUAGUUUGACUGGGGCGGUCUCCUCCUAAAGAGUAACGGAGGAGCUCGAAGGUACGCUCAGCGCGGUCGGACAUCGCGCACUGUGUGCAAAGGCAUAAGCGUGCUUGACUGCAAGAUCGACGGAUCAAGCAGGUAGGAAACUAGGACUUAGUGAUCCGGUGGUUCUGUAUGGAAGGGCCAUCGCUCAACGGAUAAAAGGUACUCCGGGGAUAACAGGCUGAUACCGCCCAAGAGUUCAUAUCGACGGCGGUGUUUGGCACCUCGAUGUCGGCUCAUCACAUCCUGGGGCUGUAGUCGGUCCCAAGGGUAUGGCUGUUCGCCAUUUAAAGUGGUACGCGAGCUGGGUUCAGAACGUCGUGAGACAGUUCGGUCCCUAUCUGCCAUGGGCGUUGGAGAUUUGAGAGGGGCUGCUCCUAGUACGAGAGGACCGGAGUGGACGAACCUCUGGUGUUCCGGUUGUCACGCCAGUGGCAUUGCCGGGUAGCUAUGUUCGGAAGCGAUAACCGCUGAAAGCAUCUAAGCGGGAAGCGCGCCUCAAGAUGAGAUCUCCCGGGGCACAAGCCCCCUGAAGGAACCAUGUAGACUACGUGGUUGA